rnacentral:rRNA from 1 species
GACGAACGCUGGCGGCGUGCUUAACACAUGCAAGUCGAACGGAGUGGCGAACGGGUGAGUAACACGUGGGUGACCUGCCCUGCACUUCGGGAUAAGCCUGGGAAACUGGGUCUAAUACCGGAUAGUGUGGGAUGGGUCCGCGGCCUAUCCGCUUGUUGGUUGGGUAAUGGCCUACCAAAGCGGCGACGGGUAGCCGGCCUGGGGGGGUGGACGGCCAGACAGGGACUGAGACACGGCCCAGACACCUACGGGAGGCAGGAGUGGGGAAGAGUGCACAAUGGGUGGAAGCCUGAUGCAGCGAGGCCGGGUGGGGGAUGACUGACUUCGUGUUGUAAACUCCUUUCACCAUCGACGCGGUAGAUGGAGAAGAAGCACCGGCUAACUACGUGCCAGCAGCCGCGGUAAUUC